GGUGGCUCAAUGGUAAAGUGCUUACCUUGCACGUAUGAGGCCCUGGGUUCAAUUCCUCAGCACCA
rnacentral:tRNA from 1 species